rnacentral:lncRNA from 1 species
CAGCAAUCCUUCCAUCGCUGUGGUCCACUGAAGGACGGCAGACGUGUAAUUUCUCACCAACUGGUAGAUUCAGGAGAUUUUUAUUUAUUAUUUUUAUAUAAAAGUUUACCUCGAUGCUGUUUUAAAGAAAGUUACUGCUAAAUUAAAAGGUUCAUUUUUACGUUAGAGGUUCUGAUUUAUGGUACUAAAAUAAUACACAUUUAUACAUACGUCUGAGGAUAAAUGGAAUACAUCUGCUUUCAUGACAAACAUUUGAUAAAAUUUAAAUCUUCUUUUAACAAAUUUUGGUCAAGUUUAUCUACCUCAACCUUUUCUCAGCCAUUGAUGGACGACAAGUAAGCCAUCGGCUGUCCGUGCUUCAGUAACUUAAUCAUAAUAAUAGUUCCCAUCUCAAACAACCGCUUUAAAGACAAAAAAGAGAUAUUGAUGUAAACUACUUAGCAGAGUGCCUGGCCAAUGGUAAGCCUGAUCUUGAACAUGCGGUUUUGCCUUCUGGCAUGUCUAUGAAAGAAAGGAGACUCCAGAUGAUGUUUUCUUCCUUCAGGACUGGGAGGGGGUUACUCUUUCUUCUGCUGGAAGAGGAGAGAAAAAUGACAUGUGGGAAGGAAUAAAGAGCAGCAAAAAGCCUUCAGUAUCCUGUGGGAACAUGGUUUUCCAAAGUUACUUUGGUCAGCUCCUUACCUUAAAGGACCAGUAUCCUGAAAAAAUUCCUGAUUAUUAGAGAUACAUUGUCACUGAACUCUGAUACAGAAUUGGAGUAUCAUCCCACAUUGAUAAGAAUCUCACACUUUUCAAAACAAAUCAAAUUGAUUAAAAAUAUUGGC